UCUCGGUGAGUGUGUCCUUUGGUCGUUUCUGCUAUUUGGGUUUUCUUGGUUUUCCUUUUUGUUUUCUCGUGAGAUUUUUUUUUUUAAAGGCCACAUGAACUGGCGUUCCACUAUGCGUGUGUGUGUUUGGUCCUGGAGCUGGUACUCUGGACCUGGGCCCAGUGCCUUUCGCCUGAAGGCUGGCACCUUCCCACGGGAAUCACAGCCCCACGCCGGCCACUUGGUCGUGAGUUGGAGGCCAGUGUCCCCGGACUUUCAUGCCUAAGCUGACUUUGCACAGCGAUUUCAGACCCCGCCCUCCUGAGAGCUAGUAUUCCAGGCGCCCCUCUAAGCCUCGUGUAGGACCUGCUCGGUAUCCGGGGCGAGGUAGGGGCUGGGAGAGCGAGUGUGUGCAGAGUCAAAGCCUGGAAGCCCCUGCGGGGUUCGGAGGAGUAGGAAAGCAGCGUUGCGGGACCAUACUUGUGGGCCUCCCUGUGAUGAAGACUUUUCACAGACCUGUACUGAGCUCCGUGAGGAAAACUGAGCUCUGAGGAGACGGCCCUGUAUGCACGGUCCGUGCCCCACACACAGCAUUUUGAAGUUGCAUUUUUUAAAUGGUGCUAAUUUAUAAUCUCUUGCAGGAUUGGGACAUCUGAACGCACAGGAAAACGGGCAGUUUUCAGAGUGUGGUCCAGCACAAAGGAACUUGCUAGGACGAUGAGACAAGAACCAUCAUACAGUUCAUUCGUAGCAGUAAUGGUUUUGCAUGUGGUUACCAAUCCUGAGCUGUUCCUGUAUCUUUCAGGAUGAAUGCAGGUAAUUUCUCCAAGAAUAGCCCUGGGUUACCUCUACAGAGUUCUUGGGACGGGAACAGUUGAAGCAAAAUUUCCUUUUUGCUUCUUCCAUUCAUCCUCUUCAAUGAGUGCCUGGGGAAAUCACAACCCCGAACUGUGUGUGGUUCAGUUCUUUGUCCACAUAACUGUCAGAUGAUUUGAAUCAACAGGCUGAUGCUCGGUGAGGCACAACAGUUAAUAGCAUGUUAGAGUUCUGAUGGCAGUACUUAACAGGUGAAGACAUUUUGCUUAUUCUCAUUCUCAAACUUGGAAACAAACUAUUUCUCUUUUCCCAGGUCAGCUUGGUGUGAUACAUUUCUCCGUCUUAAGAUGGCACCUACUAUCUAUCCAGAGUCAAAUGUCAGGACUUUCAAGUGGAGCUUCAUCUUCCUGCAUAUGAUAGAGGAGCCCAAAUGCCUCCAGUAAAAGAAGGGUUAGUUUUACUUCCUUUCACUUGUCAAGUAGUUAAUGCAGUUUCUAUGAUGAAUCGAACUAGCUCACUAUGACUAUUAAUGAAAACACAUGAACACCUGAGAAAUGAAAGAUGGGGCAGGAGGGUGGCCAUGUGCAAGAAGAUUUCUAUGCAAGACUUUGUCUUUUUUUCCAGGUUGCUAGCCAGUGGCGACCCUUUCUUUGCUGAUGUAAAGGUGAGUAGUGUCAGCAUGUGCUCUUGGCCUCACUAGGCAAAGAAAGACCUUUUUAGGUCUGCAUGAUGACUUCCUUAAUGGAAUCUCGUUCGGCUGAUGAAUUGCUGUUGAGACUGGAAAUCUGAUUUUCUAGGGAGGAUCAUAAAUGGGCACUUUUAGUAUGCUGUUUAUUUACUGACAACUUUUUUAUUUUUAUUUCAGAACUGGUUGUCUGUGGAUCCCGGGAAGGAUGAGGUAAAUGCUUUCAUAAUACUUAGAGCUGCCAUGCCUGUGGUUGUGGUCUAGGGUCAUAUUGAACAAAUGGUAACAGGUUCCUGCUUGCAGUGAUGAAUUGAUUACCGCCCCAGUCUGAUCACUGUGACUGAAAGGUAUAUUCUGAGUUGUGAGCUCACCAUUGUGAUUGGGGGUAUGAUAUCAAUGCUGAGGCAGUGGAUUCUAUAAAAUACUUGUUAAACUAACCUAAGGGAAUUGGACUUUUCUCAACCACAGAACUCAGACUUGAUUCCCGAUGGCUGCCUUUGCAGGGGAAUUCAACCAUGUACCUGCUCAACUCCAGGCUGAGAUUAGAGGUCUGAAGGAUGACACCCAUUUAUUGUCUCCAGGAAUCUGCAAGCUUUGGGAGACUGUUAAUGGAAAAUUUCAGACCCUUCCACAAUCCAAUUUCGGCUUUGUUUUUUAUUUUCCUAAUAAAGCUUUUCUUAUCGUGA